UACGAAGGGGGCUAGCGUUGCUCGGAAUGACUGGGCGUAAAGGGCGCGUAGGCGGCACACACAGUCAGGCGUGAAAUUCCUGGGCUUAACCUGGGGGCUGCGUUUGAGACGUGUGAGCUAGAGGAUGGAAGAGGCUCGUGGAAUUCCCAGUGUAGAGGUGAAAUUCGUAGAUAUUGGGAAGAACACCGGUGGCGAAGGCGGCGAGCUGGUCCAUUACUGACGCUGAGGCGCGAAAGCGUGGGUAGCAAACAGG
rnacentral:rRNA from 1 species